CCCACUGCCCCUCCCAGCCUGGAGUCCCCUCAACCUAGAGCUCUGGAAAGGAGGAUGCCCUUUCCCUCCCUCCCAUGCUGAGAAGCCCAUCAUCACCAACCCCACACAAGGCCUUUCUUUGUCUUGGCCAGUUGAGGACAGAAGGGGAAGCACCUGCUUUCAAUGUCUGGUAUGACCUGGAGACAAAUGGGUCCCCACGGUCCUCCCCACUCUCACAGUGGGCCCUGGGGGUGGCUAAAGCUUGAAGGUGACAAUUCCUGACCAGUUUGAAGGCAGAGACAGGUCCCAGCCCUUCGCGGCUCUACCAUAAAUUCACCAGUUACUGGGCCAGGCUCUCAUCUACCACCCGAAUGCGACAGGUGGGGUUAAUAGCCCUAUUUUGGCUGAGCAAACAGUCUCGGAGAGGUCAGGCGACUCGCCCAAGACCAGAACCAAAGCCAAGUCCCCGUGACUAGGGCUGAACGUGAGGCACUUCCAUCGCUUCCAUCACUGCAGCGUGGGCCCCAGGAGAGGAGGUGCAGCCUUCUGGGCAGACUUGGAGGAGGAGGAGAGGCUCAGGGCUGGGAAAGGGGCGGCCAGGAGCAGAGAGGAAGAAGGCUGGGGUCGGGUGUGGCCUAGACAGCACGAUCCUGGGAUUCGAAGGCGGGGUGGAGUGAGCCCAACUCGGGAGGGGCCCUCGGCCAGCCCUGCCACUGCCCGGCCCACAGCGCGUCCCCGGCCACCCCCAGACUGGCAGGACUGGGGGAGGACAUGCAGAGCCUGGGAGCCUAGAUGUAAGGCUUCUCCAGUCAAAGCGCUUAUCACAUCAUGAGAGCGUGGUCUCUGGGGCACACACACACAACUCAUACAUGAGACUGGAUCUCAGCACCUAGGUGUGCAGUAAGAGCUUGCUGUGUGAAUGAGUGCUGGGUGCGAAGAGUGAAAUUAGCAACAGCCUCCGGAAGGAGUUGGGCAUUGCCACGAAGGUUCUGCCUUUGAUUAGAUCUAUCGGCAGGUUUUUGGCUGAGAAUUCACAGACCUGUGGAUCAGGUUAACAUGUGAAGGGUUAAUGCUGACUCCUCUGACCUGCUUAGUCCCAAGGAGCCACGUAUUCUAAGUUGCCAGGUGAGUGUUC
rnacentral:lncRNA from 1 species